rnacentral:rRNA from 1 species
UGGUCAAGCUACAAAGGGCUCACGGUGGAUACCUUGGCACACAGAGGCGAUGAAGGACGUGUUUACCUGCGAUAAGUCUCGGGGAGCUGGAAAAACGCUUUGAUCCGGGAAUUUCCGAAUGGGGCAACCCCUAGAACGGCCAGCUGAAUCUAUAGGCUGGCGCGAGCCAACCCAGCG